ensembl:snRNA U6 U6 spliceosomal RNA
GUGCUCGCUUUGGCAGCAUGUAGAUUAAAACUGGAGCAAUACAGAGAAGAUCAGCAUGUUUCCUGCACAAGGGUGACACAUAAAUUCAUGAAGCCUGCCAUAUUUUU